rnacentral:rRNA from 1 species
UGGGGAAUCUUGCACAAUGGGCGAAAGCCUGAUGCAGCAACGCCGCGUGCGGGAAGACAGCCCUAGGGUUGUAAACCGCUUUCAGCAGGGAAGAAACUGACGGUACCUGCAGAAGAAGAUGCGGCCAACUACGUGCCAGCAGCCGCGGUGACACGUAGGCAUCAAGCGUUAUCCGGAUUUAUUGGGCGUAAAGAGCUCGUAGGCGGUUCGGUAAGUCGGGUGUGAAAACUCUGGGCUCAACCCAGAGAGGCCACUCGAUACUGCUGUGACUAGAGUGCGGUAGGGGAGCGGGGAAUUCCUGGUGUAGCGGUGAAAUGCGCAGAUAUCAGGAGGAACACCAGUGGCGAAGGCGCCGCUCUGGGCCGUAACUGACGCUGAGGAGCGAAAGCAUGGGUAGCAAACAGGAUUAGAUACCCUGGUAGUCCAUGCCGUAAA